rnacentral:rRNA from 1 species
GCUACGGGCGGCAGCAGUGAGGAAUAUUGGUCAAUGGGCGCGAGCCUGAACCAGCCAAGUAGCGUGAAGGAUGACUGCCCUACGGGGUGUAAACUUCUGUUAUAAAGGAAUAAAGUGAGGCACGUGUGCCUUUUUGUAUGUACUUUAUGAAUAAGGAUCGGCUAACUCCUUGCCAGCAGCCGCGGUAAUACGGAGGAGCCGAGCGUUAUCCGGAUUUAUUGGGGUUAAAGGGAGCGUAGAUGGUUUGUUAAGUCAGUUGUGAAAGUUUGCGGCGCACCCGUAAAAUUGCAAUUUAUACUGGCAGCCUUGUGUACAGUUGAGGUCGUCGGCAUUCGUGGUGUCGC